rnacentral:rRNA from 1 species
GACAGAGGAUGCAAGCGUUAUCCGGAAUGAUUGGGCGUAAAGCGUCUGUAGGUGGCUUUCAAGUCCGCCGUCAAAUCCCAGGGCUCAACCCUGGACAGGCGGUGGAAACUACCAAGCUGGAGUACGGUAGGGGCAGAGGGAAUUUCCGGUGGAGCCGGUGAAAUGCAUUGAGAUCGGAAAGAACACCAACGGCGAAAGCCACCUCGUGCUGGGCCGACACUGACACGAGAGACGAAAGCUAGGGGGAGCAAAUGGGG